rnacentral:tRNA from 1 species
GCUAUCGUAGCUUAACUAAAGCAUAACACUGAAGAUGUUAAGAUAAACCCUAGAAAGGUUUCGGGAGCA